rnacentral:sRNA from 1 species
UCGUAGGCAGUCCGACCCGGGAGGUCAGUU